CGAUUAAUUUGGAUCGCGUGUUGCAAAGCUUGACAGCACUCCCAACAGAAUUUUCUCAUUUUCUCCAUAUCCAAGGUCGAUCCUCAACCACUAAUUAAGGGUGAAACAGCUCCAUCCACUGCACCACAACCCAUGUUGGUAUCAUUUCAUUAAUUAUAACCUUUUAGCGGACACCUUUCUAUGAUUAAAAUGUAUGACUAUAUAAUUUUUCAAAAUUCAAGGCUUUUGAUUAAUAAUAAAAAGUACUUAUCACUCCCCAGAACCUUUAGGCGGUCACCUUUCUAUGAUAUAUAAAUAUGACUUUAAAUCUUUUUAAAUUAAAAAAUCACUUUCCUCUAAAGUCUUCACAAGGAACAUCUCAGAACAUGCAUUUUUGUAUUAUAUAUAUAAUUCUCUGCUUUUAUAAUCAUUAGCAUCAUAUAAAUAGCUUGUCUUUCCCAAAGUCUGAAACAAGGAAAAAGAAUAUAAGAUGUCAUCAUUUAAGGUUCAUUUGCUGUUGAUAUCCCUUUUGGUUAUCAAUUUCUCAUCUCAAGAGGAAUCAAGAUAUGGCCUUGCAUAUGCUGCAAGACCAAUUAGUACUGUACAACAGCAACAACAACAUAGGAGUAAUAAGUUGUCCUCAUCAGUAGAUUACUUGAAGAAAUUUGAGACUCUUGGAAUGGUUUGCAAGUGUUGUGAUGGUAUAGAUGUUGAGAAAGGAAAAAAACAAGAAUUGUGUAGUGCUACUUGGGUCGGUUCUUGCUCCAAUCUUCAGUGCUUUCCAUGGAAAUCCCAAUGAUUCUUUUGGCUUUCUAUUAGUGUAUGAUAAACUUUUGCUUUGUGUAUAUCUGUACUAAGUAAUAUUUAUAGAGACCAAUCAGUACCCUGCCUAUUCUCUCUGUUUUUUGGUUUAACCAUCCUUUUAUCUUUUAACUCACCGAGCUGAUUAAAUUGAAUUCACGCAAAACUACCUAGGGAGUAACACACUCCUAACCAAGAAUUUUUUAAUUUUCAUGACUUAAAUUUGAAAACUUAGAUUAAGGGCUAAGAAAUAUCAAUUAUUUCAUCACAUCACCGAGUUAAGUUCUGCAAGAGGUUGUUUUUAUGACUUGAACUCGUGGACAUCUAGUGAACGCCAGAAACGAGCAGGAGAAAUCCGACAACCAUUACAAGCAAUGGCCAAUAACCAUGCUCUAAGUAAGGGGCCUAGUGAAAAUGAAAAGAGCACAGUCGGGGUGUGUUUGUUCAGCUGGGCAAUGACUAGUAUUCUCAAUACAAUGGCAUUGCUAAGUGGUAAUAUGUGUACUAUAAAGAGGGUGAAUAAUUCAAGUAAGUAUAUUUAUCUAAGACCAAUAAUUUAAGUGUAAGAGUGAUGCUAUUGGACUAAUUGAGGGAAUUGUUCCUUUUCCUUGUAAGUGUGAUGCUCUAAAAAUGAGGUGAGAUGUGUUUGGCACCCGAUUCUAACCGAGCAUCGACUGAACCCUUGCAUUUAAUUAAUUGAUUUCGAAUGACUUGUCUCAUUCGAUUAAACAGGUCAGCGUAACUAAUACUCCAUCCGUUCCAAAUUAUGUGUCAUUAUUUUCUUUUUAAUUCGUCCCAAAAUAAGUGUCACAUUUCCUUAUUUGACAACUUUUUAAAGACACAAUUGCCCUUUUAUCCUUAUUGGUCUCACUUAAUUAAAAAAAAUAAUAUUAACACAUUUUUUGAUAAAGAAUAAUUUGGUAAAUUUUACAAGUCUUCUCUUAUUUCUUAAACUUUAUGCCCGAUCAAAUAGGAUAGAGAUUGAAAUCCAUAAAUACCCACUAGGCUAAGUCAAAAGUCUUUGGCGAUACUGAAUGCAAAAUGUAUUGGGGCCAUAUAAAUUCCCACAGAAGUAGAAGGUGGUCCUAAAUUGUGUUGAAGUUUGAAGCUAAUUGAUCGCACCUAAAACAUGGUCGGGUUGUAUCUAAGGCUGUUAAGUGGGCUGAAUCGGGUUAACCCGGAAUCGGCAAUUUAAAUUUAGGGUUGUAUCUUUUCAUUAACGAUAAGAGUAUAUUUGUAUCCAAAAUAUGACAGAGAGUAUAUUUAUAUCAUUUAUUAAAGUUCGAGGAUAUAUGUAUACCUUUUCAUCAACGACAAAGAUAUAUUUAUACUCAAAGUAUGAUGAUGAGUAUAUUUAUAUCAUUUAUUAAAGUUUGGGGUGUAUUUGUAUCUUUUCCGUUGAAAAGAUAAAAGAAAUCACUUAGGAGCCGUUUGGUAGGAUGUCUUAUUUUGAUAGUCCAUGGAUUAAAUGGUUGGAUUAUUUAAUACAUUGUUUGGUAAUAAAUUUGGAGCAAUGUAUAACUAAUACAUGGAAAGUUAUACACCCUAUAUGAUAUUAUAGGGUGUAUAAUUAAUACACUCAAUUUGAUGGGAUUAGUAAUCCAUGAAUUACAAUCCAUGGAUAAAUAUGAAUAAGGACAAAAAUGCCUUCAAAUUCCUUUAAUUUUUUUCAAUUUUUUUUUCAAUUUAUUCAUAUGAGUUACUUCUUUUUAAUUUACCAAGAUAAUAAUAUCCCUUCAAAUAAUUUUAGUCAUAAAAAAAUUACUCCAUUAACUUAAAAAAUAUUUAUUGAUCAAAAUUCGAAAUAAAUUGCAUGAUUGCAUACGAAUUUUAAUUUUUUAAAUAGGAUAUUCAUAAAUAAAAACAGUUUUUUUUUACUUAGCUUUAACAAUCUAUUGAACAUAAUUUUAUGUUAAUAAUGAUUCUAUUGUCUCAUUCAAAAGUUACAGGUACUUUCCUCCAACUUAAGAACACCAUAAAGUGGGAACAACAAAUAAAUGAUGAACAAAUAAAAAAAA
rnacentral:lncRNA from 1 species